rnacentral:rRNA from 1 species
CCUACGGGAGGCUGCAGUAGGGAAUAUUGCUCAAUGGGGGAAACCCUGAAGCAGCAACGCCGCGUGGGGGAUGAAGGUUUUCGGAUUGUAAACUCCUUUUGUUAGAGAAGAUAAUGACGGUAUCUAACGAACAAGCACCGGCUAAAUCCGUGCCAGCAGCCGCGGUGAUACGGAGGGUGCAAGCGUUACUCGGAAUCACUGGGCGUAAAGAGCGCGUAGGCGGGAUAGCAAGUCAGCUGUGAAAUCCUAGGGCUUAACCAUAGAACUGCAUUUGAAACUGUUAUUCUAGAGUAUGGGAGAGGUAGGUGGAAUGCGUGGUGUAGGGGUAAAAUGCGUAGAGAUCAAGAAGAAUACUGAGUGCGAAGGCGGCCUGCUGGAGCGUAACUGACGCUGAUGCACGAAAGCGUGGGGAGCGAACAGGAUUAGAUACCCCAGUAGUC